rnacentral:rRNA from 1 species
ACCGUUACGACAGAAGCGUAUUGCGUUGAAUUGAGGGCUGUUUAACUCUUCAGCUGAACGUGAGUUUAGUGUACUGAGUUAAGUAGUUAUCCGUCGUGCCUUUUCUGUGGCUGAUAUUGAGCCGCGGGAGAGGGAGGGAUCCCCUUUAUGGGUGAGGACGAUGGAGUGGCAACGCGAUGCGACCCGUCUUGAAACACGGACCAAGGAGUCUAACAUGUUUGCGAGUUGAAGGGUAGUAAACCUGGAGGCGCAGUGAAAGCGAACUUCUAAAACGGACAGUUUGUGGCGGCAUAAAAUCGUUGAUUUUAGGUCUGACUAAGAGCAAAUAUGUUAGGACCCGAAAGAUGGUGAACUAUGCUUGAGUAGGCCGAAGGCAGAAGAAAUUCUGCUGGAGGGCCGAAGCGGUGCUGACGUGCAAAUCGCUCGUCGAACUCGAGUAUAGGGGCGAAAGACUAAUCGAACCAUCUAGUAGCUGGUUCCCUCCGAAGUUUCUCUCAGGAUAGCGGGCCGACAAUUAUUGUUUUGUGCGGUAAAGCGAAUGAUUAGCGCACUCGGGGGCAUUCAGUCUUCGGUCGAUUCUCAAACUUUUAAUGCGCAAGGGGGCUGCAGCUUAGGUGUGCGGCUCCUCUAAAAAUGUCGGCCUUGUGGGCCACUUUUGGUAAGCAG